UACGAAGGGAGCUAGCGUUGUUCGGAAUCACUGGGCGUAAAGCGCACGUAGGCGGAUGUGUCAGUCAGGGGUGAAAUCCCGGAGCUCAACUUCGGAACUGCCUUUGAUACAGCACAUCUGGAGUCCGGAAGAGGUGGGUGGAAUUCCUAGUGUAGAGGUGAGAUUCGUAGAUAUUCGCAAGAACACCAGUGGCGAAGGCGGCUCACUGGCCCGGUACUGACGCUGAGGUGCGAAAGCGUGGGGAGCAAACAGG
rnacentral:rRNA from 1 species